GGUGGUUCUUGGGUAAUGCACCCUGGAAUCGGGCUUCCUCCUCUCUGAUUCCAGGUGCAUCACUCGAGAACCGCA
rfam:Myotis lucifugus cont2.12983, whole genome shotgun sequence.